CCCUAUAAAAUGCUAAAACAUCUAUACACCUCCCCAUUUGUAUGAAUGUUUUAGUAUUGUAAACUCGGAACACUGUAUAAGUCAAGACCUAGAACUAUUGUUUCCCUUGCAUACUUUUGCUAUAAAAGUGACAAAGUGGCUAUUCAUACUGGAACAAUAUGCCGAGUUUGAUUUGCUAUUCGUACUGCAGUUGGAAUAUUUAAAGUGCCCCUGACACAAAAAUUGAUUUUUUGUGUAUUGAAAGUACACAUUAUGUGGAGUGUUUUGGUGAAAGAAUUUUUUUAUUUCAUUGAAACGAAAAAAUUUUAGAGCCGUUUGAACACCCAAAAUGUGGGCUUUUUGUUGGCACACGUCCGUGUUCAAAGGAAACUGGAACGAGCGAUUUUUGUUACGUCACGCAAGUGAGUCGGGGUAUUCUAUAAUUUAUUCGACUGGUACUAACUCUUGGCGCAUAUAGUCCAUAUACAAAUAUACUAGAUUUGUGAUAAAAAAAUAUAUGCCUUUUUACUAUGUUGCAGCUAACUGUACCAAUAAACCAUGUUUAAAAGAUGGAAUAAGUUUACACAAUAUUCCAUACUUCAAUAACGAACGCGCGGAAGCUACAAGACGAAGAAAAGUAUGGGUUUGUUUGUGCCGUCAAAGCACAGAUCAAAGCUAGACUUCGACUAUAUGCUCGGAUCAUUUUUGACCAGAGGAUUACGAGAGGCGAUUCUUUUUGUGUCUUUCGUUGACGGGGCUCGGCAAGCCUAACUAUCCGAAGGCGAAGCUAUUAAAGACUGACGAUAAUUUGCUUUGUUUUGAUGAUUCAAUUUCGGUUUUACGGGCCCGCUAAUAAUAUAAAUAUUUUGUAAUACCGAAAUGAAAGAUGCAAAUCUGAAGACACAAGCUUGAAAAUAACACUCUAAAUAGU